rnacentral:rRNA from 1 species
ACACUCCUGCGGGAGGCAGCAGUGGGGAAUAUUGGACAAUGGGCGCAAGCCUGAUCCAGCCAUGCCGCGUGAGUGAUGAAGGCCCUAGGGUUGUAAAGCUCUUUCACCGGUGAAGAUAAUGACGGUAACCGGAGAAGAAGCCCCGGCUAACUUCGUGCCAGCAGCCGCGGUAAUACGAAGGGGGCUAGCGUUGUUCGGAUUUACUGGGCGUAAAGCGCACGUAGGCGGACUAUUAAGUCAGGGGUGAAAUCCCGGGGCUCAACCCCGGAACUGCCUUUGAUACUGGUAGUCUUGAGUUCGAGAGAGGUGAGUGGAAUUCCGAGUGUAGAGGUGAAAUUCGUAGAUAUUCGGAGGAACACCAGUGGCGAAGGCGGCUCACUGGCUCGAUACUGACGCUGAGGUGCGAAAGCUUGGGGAGCAAACAGGAUUAGAUACCCUGGUAGUCCC